GACGAACGCUGGCGGCGUGCUUAACACAUGCAAGUCGAACGGUGAAGCGCCUUCCUUUUUGGUGGGUGUGGAUGAGUGGCGAACGGGUGAGUAACACGUGAGUAACCUGCCCCCUUCUUCUGGAUAACCGCAUGAAAGUGUGGCUAAUACGGGAUAUUCUGGGUCUGUCGCAUGAUGGGUCUGGGAAAGAUAUUGUUUCGGUGGGGGAUGGGCUCGCGGCCUAUCAGCUUGUUGGUGGGGUGAUGGCCUACCAAGGCGGUGACGGGUAGCCGGCCUGAGAGGGUGGACGGUCACACUGGGACUGAGACACGGCCCAGACUCCUACGGGGGGCAGCAGUGGGGAAUAGUGCACAAUGGGGGCAAGCCUGAUGCAGCGACGCCGCGUGAGGGAUGGAGGCCUUCGGGUUGUGAACCUCUUUCGGCAGUGAAGCAGGCCUGCCUCGUUUGUGGGUGGGUUGACGGUAGCUGGAUAAGAAGCGCCGGCUAACUACGUG
rnacentral:rRNA from 1 species